GUUGCAGGUUUUGAUCUUCACUGU
rnacentral:siRNA from 1 species